rnacentral:rRNA from 1 species
AUUGAACGCUGGCGGAAUGCUUUACACAUGCAAGUCGAACGGUAGAGGGGGCAACCCCUCGAGAGUGGCGAACGGGUGAGUAAUAUAUCGGAACGUGCCCAGUCGUGGGGGAUAACGGAGCGAAAGUUACGCUAAUACCGCAUACGAUCUAAGGAUGAAAGCGGGGGAUCGCAAGACCUCGCGCGAUUGGAGCGGCCGAUAUCAGAUUAGGUAGUUGGGGGGGUAAAGGCGCACCAAGCCAACGAUCUGUAGCUAGUCUGAGAGGACGACCAGCCACACUGGAACUGAGACACGGUCCAGACUCCUACGGGAGGCAGCAGUGGGGAAUUUUGGACAAUGGACGCAAGUCUGAUCCAGCCAUUCCGCGUGCAGGAUGAAGGCCCUCGGGUUGUAAACUGCUUUUGUACGGAACGAAAAGGUCUCUCUUAAUACGGGGGGCUCAUGACGGUACCGUAAGAAUAAGCACCGGCUAACUACGUGCCAGCCGCCGCAGUAA